GACGAACGCUGGCGGCGUGCCUAAUACAUGCAAGUAGAACGCUGAAGGAGGAGCUUGCUUCUCCGGAUGAGUUGCGAACGGGUGAGUAACGCGUAGGUAACCUGCCUGGUAGCGGGGGAUAACUAUUGGAAACGAUAGCUAAUACCGCAUAACAGUAGAUGUUGCAUGACAUUUGCUUAAAAGGUGCAAUUGCAUCACUACCAGAUGGACCUGCGUUGUAUUAGCUAGUUGGUGAGGUAACGGCUCACCAAGGCGACGAUACAUAGCCGACCUGAGAGGGUGAUCGGCCGCACUGGGACUGAGACACGGCCCAGACUCCUACGGGAGGCAGCAGUAGGGAAUCUUCGGCAAUGGACGGAAGUCUGACCGAGCAACGCCGCGUGAGUGAAGAAGGGUUUCGGAUCGUAAAGCUCUGUUGUAAGAGAAGAACGAGUGUGAGAGUGGAAAGUUCACACUGUGACGGUAUCUUACCAGAAAGGGACGGCUAACUACGUG
rnacentral:rRNA from 1 species